GAUGAAGAACGCAGCGAAAUGCGAUACGUAAUGUGAAUUGCAGAAUUCAGUGAAUCAUCGAAUCUUUGAACGCACAUUGCGCCCGCUAGUAUUCUGGCGGGCAUGCCUGUCCGAGCGUCAUUUCAACCCAUCAAGCUUAGCGCUUGUGUUGGAGCCCUGCGGCCGCCGCAGCCUCCUAAAAUCAGUGGCGGGCUCGCUAUCACGCUGAGUGCAGUAGUAUUCUUCUCACUCCUGUGGUGUAGCGGGUAACCAGCCGUAAACCCCCCCAUCUAUAAAGGUUGACCUCGGAUCAGGUAGGAAUACCCGCUGAACUUAAGCAUAUCAAUAAGCGGAGGA
rnacentral:misc_RNA from 1 species